rnacentral:sRNA from 1 species
UCCACGAAACUGUGCUGAGCGUCAUCAUC